rnacentral:lncRNA from 1 species
UGAUACAAGAAUAUGAAAUUUAAAUAGCAAAAGUAAGUUUCAAAUUACUUAAAACUUUCAAAUAUCGGGACAAGAAAUAGCGGAUAUGAAAAGAGAACGGACGAGUAAUUUAAUUAGUUAAUUACAGGCUAUAUAAUGUUAUUUUUAAAACAGAAAACAUGUAAAUGAUGUCAUUUAUAAUAAAAAAAAUAUGAUCUUAUCUUAGAGGGAAAGAACGGGUACAAAAAAGGAACGAGUAAUUAAAAAAUGUAUCUAAAUGAAUUCUCAUCAAAAACAAGAUGAUAUACAAAAUUUGGAAACUUCAAUUCAAUUUCAACUUUCAAAUAUCAAAUGACUGGUAUGAUACAGGAAUAUGAAAUUUAAAUAGCAAAAGUAAGUUUC